CACACAUCUCAUUUGAUCUGCUCAUACCCUAACCUUUCAUCUAUAGGUAUAGAUACUCAUACCCUAACCUUUAUCUAUAGGUACAGAUACUCAUACCCUAACCUUCAUCUAUAGGUACAGAUACUCAUACCCUAACCUUCAUCUAUAGGUAUAGAUACUCAUACCCUAACCUUUAUCUAUAGGUACAGAUACUCAUACCCUAACCUUCAUCUAUAGGUACAGAUACUCAUACCCUAACCUUCAUCUAUAGGUAUAGAUACUCAUACCCUAACCUUCAUCUAUAGGUACAGAUACUCAUACCCUAACCUUCAUCUAUAGGUAUAGAUACUCAUACCCUAACCUUCAUCUAUAGGUAUAGAUACUCAUACCCUAACCUUCAUCUAUAGGUACAGAUACUCAUACCCUAACCUUCAUCUAUAGGUAUAGAUACUCAUACCCUAACCUUCAUCUAUAGGUACAGAUACUCAUACCCUAACCUUCAUCUAUAGGUAUAGAUACUCAUACCCUAACCUUCAUCUAUAGGUAUAGAUACUCAUACCCUAACCUUCAUCUAUAGGUAUAGAUACUCAUACCCUAACCUUCAUCUAUAGGUACAGAUACUCAUACCCUAACCUUCAUCUAUAGGUACAGAUACUCAUACCCUAACCUUCAUCUAUAGGUAUAGAUACUC